UACGAAGGGGGCUAGCGUUGCUCGGAAUUACUGGGCGUAAAGGGCGCGUAGGCGGAUAGUUCAGUCGGGGGUGAAAGCCCGGGGCUCAACCUCGGAACUGCCUUCGAUACUGGCUAUCUUGAGUACGGGAGAGGUGUGUGGAACUCCGAGUGUAGAGGUGAAAUUCGUAGAUAUUCGGAAGAACACCAGUGGCGAAGGCGACACACUGGCCCGUUACUGACGCUGAGGCGCGAAAAGCGUGGGGAGCAAACAGG
rnacentral:rRNA from 1 species